rnacentral:rRNA from 1 species
AUUGCCUCAGUAACGGCGAGUGAAGCGGCAACAGCUCAAAUUUGAAAUCUGGUCCCAGGCCCGAGUUGUAAUUUGCAGAGGAUGCUUUUGACAAGGUGCCUUCCGAGUUCCCUGGAACGGGACGCCAUAGAGGGUGAGAGCCCCGUCUGGUCGGACACCGAGUCUCUGUAAAGCUCCUUCGACGAGUCGAGUAGUUUGGGAAUGCUGCUCUAAAUGGGAGGUAUAUGUCUUCUAAAGCUAAAUACCGGCCAGAGACCGAUAGCGCACAAGUAGAGUGAUCGAAAGAUGAAAAGCACUUUGAAAAGAGAGUUAAACAGCACGUGAAAUUGUUGAAAGGGAAGCGUUUAUGACCAGACUUGGCCCGGUUGAUCAUCCAGCGUUCUCGCUGGUGCACUCUGCCGGUCCAGGCCAGCAUCAGUUUGCCGCGGGGGAUAAAGGUUUCGGGAAUGUGGCUCCUCCGGGAGUGUUAUAGCCCGUUGCGUAAUACCCUGCGGUGGACUGAGGUCCGCGCUUCUGCAAGGAUGCUGGCGUAAUGGUCAUCAACGACCCGUCUUGAAACACGGACCAAGGAGUCGUCUUCGUAUGCGAGUGUUCGGGUGUAAAACCCCUACGCGUAAUGAAAGUGAACGCAGGUGAGAGCUUCGGCGCAUCAUCGACCGAUCCUGAUGUUCUCGGAUGGAUUUGAGUAAGAGCAUACGGGGCCGGACCCGAAAGAAGGUGAACUAUGCCUGUAUAGGGUGAAGCCAGAGGAAACUCUGGUGGAGGCUCGCAGCGGUUCUGACGUGCAAAUCGAUCGUCAAAUAUGGGCAUGGGGGCGAAAGACUAAU